rnacentral:rRNA from 1 species
UACGUAGGGUGCGAGCGUUAAUCGGAAUUACUGGGCGUAAAGCGUGCGCAGGCGGUUCUCCAAGUCCGGUGUGAAAGCCCCGGGCUCAACCUGGGAAUGGCAGUGGAAACUAGGGGACUUGAAUCUGGCAGAGGGGGGUGGAAUUCCACGUGUAGCAGUGAAAUGCGUAGAGAUGUGGAGGAACACCGAUGGCGAAGGCAGCCCCCUGGGCUGAGAUUGACGCUCAGGCACGAAAGCGUGGGGAGCAAACAGG